UGUAAGCGUAUACCAAAGUUGUUGCAGUUAAAACGCUCGUAGUCGGAAUUUGGCAGUUCCGGAAGUGUGCACGUCGUGUGCGCACUUUGCGGGGACUGCUUUUGUGGUCUUGCGUAGGAUGAGGCACUUUCAUUAGUGAACGUCCUCACGCAACCACUCUUUACUGUGAGAAAAUCAGAGUGCUCAAAGCAGGCAUUUGCCGUGAAUGUAUUAGCAUGGAAUAAUAGAAUAGGACUCGGUUCUAUUUUGUUGGUUUGUUGGGACUGAGUAAUGAUUAAGAGGGACAGUUGGGGGCAUUUGUAUUCCGGCGCUAGAGGUGAAGUUCUUAGAUUGCCGGAAGACAAACUGCUGCGAAAGCGUCUACCAAGGAUGUUUUCAUUGA
rnacentral:rRNA from 1 species